GGAGGUAUACCCAAGUUCGGCUGAAGGGAUCGGUCUUGAAAACCGACAGGCGGGUCAAACCGCGCGGGGGUUCGAAUCCCUCUACCUCCU
rfam:Lentibacillus amyloliquefaciens strain LAM0015, complete genome.